rnacentral:misc_RNA from 1 species
GAAAAAAAAAAUGAUUUACACAUCAUUCUUCUAUAUGUUUAUUGCAUAUCUUGAUAAAUCAAUUCCUCCUGCAAAUGCUUGGGAUUGAAGUAUACCAGUUAUGUAUGGAAAUAAAAUUCAUCAAUAUUGUGUGGUUCUAUGUUCUUAUUCAACUGUUACCGUUAGCAGCGCAAGCUUUGAAAAUUGAUCCCCAAAUGAAUUCAUUCUAGAUAUUUGUGCCCUUAAGAACCAAACUCAUAUUGUGAGAUGUAAUUCUUUCUUGGUGACUAAGGUGAUACUUGUCUCUGCAGGUCACUGGAGAGUUGCUUGAUC